UCAAACUCUUCUGACCAAUCAGAUCCCAGGAUUAAGCAGCACUGUGGUGUUAUAUAGAGAGACGUUUAUUCUGGGUUUUCUGGCUGAUGCACUGAAAUCUGUCCUCAGAUGCCAUUGAUUCAGUUUUGACUUAAAGAGGUUAACGAGCUGGAAUAACUUUACGUUAUUAGGAAAAUGUGGGAGAUAAGCAGGAAAUGGGAGCUGAUUGGCGUUAAGAAUUUAAAUCCGUUUUAAUAGCUUAAAAAAUAGAUUGUACCCCAAAUCACUGGAGGAUGUUUUGAAAUAGAUUUAGAUAAUUCAGUCUCCGGAGACACUUUAAAGUUUCAACUCAGGCCCAUCAUUUACCUUUGACCUUUGACCCCUGGAGUGCUUCAAAUGGAGAUCAUCAAUUUGGACUGAAAAUCGCCCCCAGGCUCGACCGACUGAACUCAUCAUCUUUACUAACAUGAAACUCUUCGUAUUUAUUUAAAUACAAACAUUGGGCUUUCAGUGUUUCCUGAAUGACACUGAGAACAAAUUCCCACAUUUAUAUUAAAUUAAAACAAUUUCUACAAACUUUAUUACUGAACAGAAACCUAACAGUGGCUUUAAGCUUUAGCUCCAUCUGCAGAGGAACAGAAAUCAGACUGGAUCACAAGUCACAAAACAUCUCACAUCCAGCUUCUUAUGAGAGCGUCUGAUCCCGAAGGUUCUCCUGAACAUAGACAUGAACUGGAGCUCAGCCAAGCCAGAGGAGAUAAGUCUGCAUGGAUCCUGGUCUCGAUUAGAAGCAGCCUUUCUACUAGUCGCUAAGCUUAACAAGAAGCACGCCGAGCCUCUGGGCAUCCACACGUCUGAUCAACAUCAGAAAAGAAGGAAAGAAAAGAGACUUCAUCAGUAGCUGAAAGAGUAAAAGGUUCCUUUUAAAGACAACAUCAAAAGUGGACUUUAUCGUUUUUCUCACUAAACUCACUUUGCAUACGUGUAAAAUCCAACAUCUGCUGAUCAGACAGGAGACUUUUAUUAAAGUAAAGGAUUUAUUUUAAACAGCUUGCCAAGUUAAUGUUAAGUUUAGCAUUGAGUUCAAUCUGCUGACCGAAGCAUGAGC